GUUCCAACGUUGAAAAGGGGAGCAAUCCCCCGGUAGGGUGGCGAACGGGUGAGUAAUACAUGGGAAUCUGUCCUGGAGAUGGGGAUAUCCUUCCGAAAGGAGGGUCAAUACCGAAUAUCGUCCGGGUGACGGGAGUCACUUGGGGAAAGGGAGGCCUCCUGGCAACAUGCUUCCGCUCCGGGAGGAGCCCAUGGUCCCAUCAGCGUAGUUGGUAGGGAAACGGCCUACCAAGGCA
rnacentral:rRNA from 1 species